GAGCAAUCGGGACAGCUCAGCAAACAAAGCAGGACAAGUGAAUAAAGCUGUAAAAUCCCAAAGGAGCCGGGAAUAGACUCUCUUAUUUUGCCAUCGGCGGCCGUCAGAUCUCGUGGGGAAGGCUACAGCCUUUCUUCACAGGAAAGAUGCUCCAGUUUCUUAUAAUUUCUGUGGCCCUUUGCUGGAUUCUCUGCAGAAUGUCCAUGCCUCUCUUGCAACGAGAAGCCCAGAAUUGGAUACUGCACACCAGACAGCGCCAGUAUGGAUCCAAAGAUAGCAGGAUUUAAAGCAGCAUAUGUUCCUGCUCCCACAUUGGAAGGAUGGAUCAUCUUCCAACUUAAAAGGAAGAUCACCCCUGAAAUGGAGAUGUUUUUCUCCUCUGUGCCAAAGUCUGUAACCAUCUGCCUUGUGAGCUUCAGUAAAUUAAUAUUAAUAGUGUCCUGGUGUCCUAGGGUGACUUUAUGAUGCUUGUAUCCCCAGUUGUCUGUUCUGUUUGUGCUGUAUAUUGAGUUCUGUGCCUUUAAGACUGGUCUGGGAGCAAAGG